rnacentral:snRNA from 1 species
GUCUCUUAUGAGACAUCCGAUAAAAUUGGAACGAUACAGAGGAGAUUAGCAUGGCCCAUGUGCAAGGAUGACACGCACAAAUUGUCCAUUGGAUGU